rnacentral:misc_RNA from 1 species
GAUGAAGAACGUAGCGAAAUGCGAUACUUGGUGUGAAUUGCAGAAUCCCGUGAACCAUCGAGUCUUUGAACGCAAGUUGCGCCCGAAGCCAUUAGGCCGAGGGCACGCCUGCCUGGGCGUCACACGUCGUUGCCCCCCCAUCUACUCCUCCGGGAUUGCGGGGGGCGGAUGAUGGCCUCCCGUGCGCCUCGUCGCGCGGUUGGCAUAAAUGCCAAGUCCUCGGCGACGCACGCCACGACAAUCGGUGGUUGCGAAACCUCGGUUGCCCGUCGUGUGCGGUCGUCGCGCAUCGAGGGCUCGAAAAAAUUGCCGGGCUCCGGCUCGGCUUUCAACGCGACCCCAGGUCAGGCGGGGUUACCCGCUGAAUUUAAGCAUAUCAAUAAGCGGAGGA